UACGGAGGGUGCAAGCGUUAUCCGGAUUCACUGGGUUUAAAGGGUGCGUAGGUGGGCAGUUAAGUCAGUGGUGAAAUCUCCGGGCUCAACCCGGAAACUGCCAUUGAUACUAUCUGUCUUGAAUAUCGUGGAGGUAAGCGGAAUAUGUCAUGUAGCGGUGAAAUGCUUAGAUAUGACAUAGAACACCAAUUGCGAAGCCAGCUUACUACCCGAAUAUUGACACUGAGGCACGAAAGCGUGGGGAUCAAACAGG
rnacentral:rRNA from 1 species